AAAAGUCAGGAAAUGAAUUGAGAAGGUUUAAAAGAGUUAUGUUACUUGAUCUACCUUAGGAUGAAAAUUGGGUAAGUAAACAAGCUAUCUCAAUUAUGUAAUUUUUUUUCUUUCAUUCAACAUGGAACAAGCUAAGAGAUUUGGGAGUCUGUUAUUUCUCUCAAAUUAAAUGUGAGCCAAGUAUUAGAAUUUUUUUUUUUUUUUUGUCUUCAGGCUUUUAUUUGAGCAAAUAUACCAGUCACUUCAGUAUGGGGAAGAGGAAACAGAUGGGAUGUGGAUAACAGGGGAAAAAUAACAGUGCUAAAAGUAUUUGAUAUGCAAAAAUCAAAUUGUUCCCAGAGUCGUCAGGUGCUAGAUGUAGCACUGAAAAACAACUUUACAUAAAUAUAUAUUUUCUUUAUAAGUAACCUGUCCAUUAGCAUCAUAAACAUGAGGAAACCUGGAUCCCUUUGAGACACUCUUGCUCAGAAUUUCUUACUACUGUUCCUUGUUUAGUGGAUUCAGUUUUAACUCACUGUGGCAUAUACAGUCAGCUGUGCAUGACACAGUCACAAUUUACCUUUCCCUCACUGUCGUCUCUUUAUGCCUAUUUCCCAAUGUGUGCCCACAUCAGUUUCCUUCCUGCCUUCGUCCAUAUUCUUUCUUCCAUAGUGCACCUUCCACCACAGUGAAGAUGACUCUGGAGUUUGCCUUGAAUUCAAAUCCUGCAUUUGCUUCAUGAUAGCUGCACAACCCUAGGCAAGUUAUUUAGCCUCUAGAAUCCUCAGUUUCCUCAUCUGUAAAAUGGGCUUAGUAAUAUUGCUUCCUAGGAGAGCCAGGAGAUUAAAAUGAGAUCAUGCCAUGUAUAAGGUUUAGCAGAGUUGCAUACCCGAAAGUUUCCAAUAAUGGGUAGUUAGGAUCAUUAUCAUUGUCACGAUCUCCCAGUUUUCGUGGCUAAACUUAAUCAUCACCUCUUCAGUGAUAUCUUUGAGCAGGCACUGCGGUAGUAUUUAAGAAGGUGGGCUCUGGAAGAGACUGCCUUAGUUUGAAGCAUAGUGCCACUCCUUUUUAACUGUGUUGUAACUUCUCGAAGGCUCCAUUUCCUCAUCUAUAAAAUAUGGGAUGUCAGUAGUGUCUACUCAUGGCUUUGGUAGGAGGAGUGAUCUAGGCCUAAACAGUGUCUGGCUCGUAGGAAACAUCAGUAGAUGAUGUGCUUUUUGCUGUUAUGAUAAGUAGUGUGUUCCACAUCACAGCAUACACUGGGUGGUGCAGGGGCUGAAAUUUAACCUGUUGCCUCUGUACCCAGAAAGAGGAAGCACAUUCCUUAUGACAUAGUUGUGAGGUGACCUUUCACAUGAUACUUUUCAUAUACAAAAUAAAGCAUAGGUGUUUCCGUAAACCUGGACAGGCUUCAAGAUUCAUCUGGCAUUUAAGCUUAGAAUUUCUGUCUCUAAGUAUAAGUGAUCGUCCCUAUUGGUUUGCCUGGGACAGACUUGGAUACAUCUGGUACUCCACAACUAUUAUUAACUGAAAAUCCCUUUUACUCUCAAAGUUGUCUCCAUUUAAAGAAUAAAGUUUGUGGUUACCUGAAUAAGAUUAAGGAUGACUCUUUGAUAGCAGCUGUCGUUAACAGGAAGCCUGUUUUGUAGGAAAGACAAUGAGCGUUUUGGCUGGGCGCGGUGGCUCACACCUGUAAUCCUAGCACUUUGGGAGGCUGAGGCGGGCAUAUUGCCUGAGUUCAGGAGUUUGAGACCAGCCUGGGCAACACGAUGAAACCCUGUCUCUACUAAAAUACAAAAAAUUAGCUGUGCGUGGCAGCUUGCGCCUGUAGUCCCAGCUACCCAGGAGGCUGAGGCAGGAGAAUUGCUGGAACCCAGGAGGCAGAGCUUGCAGUGAGCCGAGAUUGCGCCACUGCACUCCACCCUGGGUGACAAAGCAAGACUCCAUCUCCAAAAAAAAAAAAAAAAAAAAAGAAGGAAAAGAAAAUGAGAGGUUUUUUUUUGUUUUUUUGUUUUUUGUUUUUUGAGAUAGAGUCUCACUCUGUUACCCAGGCUGGAAUGCAGGGGCACUAUCUUGGCUCACUGCAACCUCUGCCUCCCAGCUACUAGGGAAGCUGAGGCAGGAGAAUGGCGUAAACCUGGGAGGCAGAGCUUGCAGUGAGCUGAGAUCCGGCCACUGCACUCCAGCCUGGGCGACAGAGCGAGACUCUGUCUC